CAGACUUGUUAGAACAACCUUGUAACAAGUCGGAUAAUGCCAUCAAGCUUGUUACAAGUUGUUAACAGCUUGUUCCAAACUUGUUGCAACAACUGGGAACAAGCAGUGCGAACACAACUUGUCGACAGCUUGUGAACAUAUUUGUAACAACUUGUUUGCAGAACUGUAACAACUUGUGUGUUUUUACGUGUGUAGAUCUUUGCCUACAGAGCAUCUUUAAUGUUCCACAUUGCAAAAAUACAUUUCUUUUUUUACAGCACGACUCGUGUCCAAUUUGUCGGCUAGGUUUAAAUGGUAGGAGUAACAUUGAAAACGAGUCAAAUGAGCUUUAAAUUUGCACGAGACUAUAACCACGAAGCUCCAUCACGCGCGAGACAAAAGACUGCAAUUAUUCAGAGCUCUGAGCCAUAUAAUAAGACGCUGUAAAUAGUGUGGAAAAUACGUGUAAUUUUGUGUGUAGAAAAUGUUUUAAUAUUUUUUUUGUUAAGUGUAAUUAUAAACUAUGGUAAGAAUUGAUAAAUAUACCUGGUUAAGAUAUACUCGUGUAAAAACUCGACGUUGUUCAAGAGGUAUGGCAAUAAAAAUUUGGUAAGGCAAUAGAAAUUUUGAAAGAACUUUUAAAACUUUUACAGCUUCUUCAAAUGUUGUUUAGUUCUCGAAAUAUUUUGACAAAAAUCACCAUGAAUCAGUGAGCUGUUCGCCAUCUUGGAUUAUUGAGGAUAUGUAUGUUACCGGAUAUACACAAUAAUGAUUAGCCCAAAAUUAUAUUUCGGUCACUAUUUCAAAUUAGAAAUUGACUGACAACAUUUUAAACAUAUACUAUAUAUAGCCAAACCCUGCUUUUGACGUCACCAAAACCACCGUCAAUGAGAUCAAAACUAAUCCAAGAUGGCGGACAGCCAAUAUUUGUUCAGUCAAAAUAUUUCAAAAACUAAGAUACGAAAACUCGGUAAAGUAGUUUUAUAUACGAUUUUAAAAGUUCUAUCAGAUGAGACAAACGUAAUUUUUAUUGACAUCUCCCUUUAAAGUUAACAGUUUUUGGAAUAGAAUCCUUAAAGUUAUGGAAAGACAUUUCACACCAUUUCAAAAUGACUAGCAAGAUAUUUUUGCCAAAAACUAUCUUAGCUUGGUUUUUUGAGAUAUUUAAUGUUUGAUUUGCGAAUUAUCCUCAGUAUGACGUCAAAGUGCAAACUAAGCUUUCUGAAAAAAACCCUUUUAUAACUCUUACAGGUAAUCGAUUCAAAUUUCUCGACAUACAGUAUAUAUAUUUGUAGUAUGUUGACAUUGCGCGAUAUCCCAAGAUCUUGAAGUCUUCUCAGAAAAUCAUUAUGCAAUGUGACGUCAUAGUGAGAAUAAUUUGCUUAUCAAAAAUUGUUAAAUAUCUCAAGAACAGAACAAGUUAACUUUUUUAGCUAAGAUAGUUUGACAAAGAAUCUUAUUUGGUCGUAUGAAUUUUGUUUUAAAUGUAAUCAUAAAUGAUGUGAAAUUUCGUUACAUUGGAAGGAAUGCCAUAAGUAGUUUUCAACACUUAAAAUUAAAAAUGUUCUGCCUUAAGGAUACUAUUCCUAAAACAAAAUUGGUCGUGGCUGCCUCAACUAUGUCAAGGUGACCGAAUACGAUAUGUAACUGACAAAAUCAAGAUUGAUAUGUAUUCUCACAUUGCCAUACUUUGUGGUUACAGCCUCGACAAUAAUUACUCUAAAUUUAAAACUAUUUUAUAUGCAUUGUAAUUACCCGAAUGGCAUUAUUCUAUAAAGUUUCGAUUUAAAUGCGCCGAUAAGGCUUUAUGUGAUAUAGCCCACUGACAUGGAUAUAACUGGAACGCUACCUCCAACCGGAAAUUGAAGCCAAACGUGAAGGCCAGUCCCAGUCUUUUCAAGCAUGCGAAGAGCGUGGUCAAUCCCCGUCAACAUGAAUAUGCGUUCUUGAAAACCGGCUUAAGAUUUCCAAGAAAGUUUUUUAACAGCGCUCAAGCUUUCUAUUAAUGGUUUUAUUCUGGUAAAACUUUCUUGUAGAUUUUACUUGUUUCUAAUAAUUGUUUAUUGAAAGAGGAUUUUUCUGCGAUUUGGCUUCAAUAAAAUAGGCAAUAGUUUAUCUGAAGGUAGCAUUCCAGUUAUAAUAUAUUCAUUUCAAUGAUAUAGCCAUAAUGAACAAAGUCAAUGUUAUUUCUAUAAAUUUAUGAUAUUUGCAGUAACGGAGAAAAGUAGGUCGGAACCUACCAGACAGAACGGUAGGUUCCGAAGAUACCACAUAUGAACAAUUUGUUGUCAUAAUGAAUCAAUCGCAAAGCCCAGUCACAUAUGGGUUGGCCGACUCUGUUAUUGUGGGCGCAGUUCAGUUGCAUUGUGUUAUAUAGGGACCGGUCAUUAUUUAUGGUGGGGGGUGGCACCGAAGAAUUUUUUACUCAGCCUCAAAUAUCAAUUAAAAAAUAUAUACCCACCCCUGGCCAAAAACGGAUACUGUUCAGUUGACACACACGUCCCCUACCACUCUUGUGACACGAGUUUGAUAACUGCUUGUGCAAUCUACUUUCUUUGGAGACACCAUUUGCCUCCUGACAAAUCAGAAAAUGAUGAAGAUAGUGACUGAUUGAUGUUGACACACGACAAUUGACAUUGCUUUUUAGUUUUCAAUAUUUGAGUGCGUCGUGCUUUGGAAAUGACAAUAUACUUUUAUUACCCAACCCUUGAGAUGUUUUGUUUUUCAUUUAUCCAACCUUUUAUUCACUCAAAAUUUGUUUACCCAACCCUUUUCUCUUCGGUGCCACUCCCCGCCUUAAAUAAUGGCCGGGAUUUUGACGCUAUAAUAUUUUAGUAGUUUAGCUAAGCAUCUACACCGUAUGUUCACCGCAGUUCUGUAGGUUAUUCUUGAGCGGUACUGUACGAAGCUGCUUCCCCUUAUUAUACUUACCGAACACAAUCACAAUGAAGGGCGUCCCGAAAAAUGCAGUAACUGUGUUUCAGAUUAUUUAAUCCAAUUUAUAUGCACUACACAACUUUUGCCUAAAACUGUCGCAUGCAACCGGCUGUGUGCUUGAUUUACACAGUACAACUCAAGUUGUAAGUGGGUUGCAUGCGACAGUUUUAGGCAAAAGAUCAUAGUUGCAUUGGAUAUUCGAAAAGCGUUCUGGUAGUUGUGUUCUGUAAACGUAAUAUGGGAUAUAAAAUAGACACUCCCCGAAUUUGCGUGAGUGUUCGCGAAACAAUAGCUUGAAAUCGAGGCGGAUAAUAUAAUCCAUUGUAAAUAAGUAGUUUUCUCAUCGCUAGCCAGCAAAUUCGGUGAUUGUUUAUCAUUUUAUUAAGUUUAACCCAUUGAGUGGCAGCACUCUCCCAGCUUGACGAGUAAAUCGUCUGGCGUUAGAAUGAGUAAAAGUAUCUGCCACUUAAAGGGUUAAGUUUUAAAACAAGGCAGUGACAACUGUCAAAAAUAUAAAUUGCAAAUAAUUUGGUAUAGCGCGAACGCUGAAGUUAACCUUCCUAUUUGUAGUUUGUAAACGAAUAACAAUAAUUAUUCAAGCAGAAAAAAUUACUGUACAUGUGUGUGUAUUUUUUAUUUCGAAUCAAACUAAAUUGUUCGAAAAUUAAAAUACUAUUGUAGUUUUACUAUGGCCUAUGGGGGAUGACUUCAAGCAUGUGAUAUUUUUUUCUGAGAAUUUUUCUCGAAUUAUUUUUCUAGUCGAUGAUUCUUGUAAUUAGAACUUUCAACUCAUUCGAGACCCCACCAAAACCCCAAUCACGUUUUCUUUAACUAAAAAUGUCAAUUUCCAUUUAAUAAAUUUCAACAUUCUGUCAUUCUCUACUAUUCCCUAACAAAACAAGUAAGAUUAAAAGUGUUAUUAUUUACAAGACACAUUUACAAGACUUCAUUUAAGCACAGCACCAUCCAGUGCUAGUUUUCAAGUCAGUGAGACAUAUAGACAGACCUGGGAAAAAGUGAGAUCUUGAGAAACUGCUUUAGCAAGAAAACUGGGGUUUUCAAUUUUCCACAUGCGUUGUGGGAGAAUGUUAAGCAAUCAUAUCAUACUUCAUCUAUCAUUUGAGAUUGUGAAAUGUUGUUCAAUGUUCAAAUUUGGCGUAAAUAUAUACGAAUUUUCCAUUGUUUUUACGCGCACUUGAUGAACACUUGAAAAAGGGGAACAUUACUAAACACUUUUUCCAGAUCUGCAAUCAGUGAACUAUGUCGCAGACAGCGAGUAUGAAUCGGAUUAGCCUUGGUUUGGGAUCUUAAAAACGGUUGAUAACCAAAUUCGCAUCCGAUGGUCAUGACUACAAAAAGUACCUGACUUUUGGAAAUGUUUAAGAUUGAGAGAAAAAAUGGACAGUCCAAUACCUGUCGGAGUAAAUCAGAAAAUUAACUUAAAUAUUUUGUAGCCCUGCCGAUUAUAAUCCGAGGGUUACUAUUCUAAUGUUACCAAUAGACAACUUGCACGUUAGACUAAUUUUUGACCUAGGCAAAAAAAAAGUAAAUCGUUAGACUAAUUUUUGACCUAGGCAAAAAAGAA